rnacentral:misc_RNA from 1 species
AUUAGCAUAAUUUAUUCAUUAAAAAAAUGAUAGACAACAUUAGAAAAAUGCUACAAAAAGGAUUGGCAUUAGGUGGACUUUCUAGACAUGAACAAAAAAAAAAGUAACAAAAUCUACAGUGAACAGAGAAACCAGCAAGUGUUCCAUACUUCAGUUUAAUUAUACAUUUAAGGAACAGAGUGCAUCAUCAGAUAGUUUGCAGACUCCAGUGACUGAAUCACUUAAACAAUGGAGUUAUACCUAUAUUGACGGAAUACUUUCAAUAAAUAAAAGAGUCAGAGUAAACUAGAAAGGGUUGACUUCAGAUACUAUGAAUUAAUUUCAGAGAAUUUCCCCCUUUUUCUGAUGAUAACAUUUUAAAUGAAUAGAAUGAAGCCUCAAAGAUUGUAAUCAACAUGCUUGAUUUUGGGCUCAGAAUAAUAUGAGUUUCAACCUAGAAAACAUCAAAAAUUUCUCAUUAGGACACCACUAAAAAAAUUUAUGGCUACAGCCCAUAUCCUACAGGGACUUAGCAAACUGUUUACAGGUUGAUAUCACUAUACCUUAUGAUAUGCACGAAUAACCAU